rnacentral:ncRNA from 2 species
GUGGUAAGAUAAAUUAUCGGUUCCGAUGGGGAGCAGCCAUCAGACGCAAGGGGGAAAGAGUAGUGCAAAUCUACCGCUGUCCCGCAACUGUAAAGAGAAAUACUAUUCUCCAAGUCAGAAUGCCCGCCGAAAAUCAACCCGUUAC